GGGCCCGCACAAGCGGUGGAGCAUGUGGUUUAAUUCGAUGAUACGCGAGGAACCUUACCAGGGCUUAAAUGUAAGUUGCAUUAGUUAGAGAUAGCUAUUUCUUCGGACUACUUACAAGGUGCUGCAUGGUUGUCGUCAGCUCGUGCCGUGAGGUGUCAGGUUAAGUCCUAUAACGAGCGCAACCCCUGUUGUUAGUUGCCAUCGAGUCAUGUCGGGAACUCUAGCGAAACUGCCGGUGCAAACCGUGAGGAAGGUGGGGAUGACGUCAAAUCAUCACGGCCCUUACGUCCUGGCUACACACGUGCUACAAUGGUCGGUACAGAGAGCAGCCACUACGCGAGUAGGAGCG
rnacentral:rRNA from 1 species